rnacentral:rRNA from 1 species
GAUGAACGCCGGCGGCGUGCCUAAUACAUGCAAGUCGAGCGAACGGACGAGAAGCUUGCUUUUCUGAUGUUAGCGGCGGACGGGUGAGUAACACGUGGAUAACCUACCUAUAAGACUGGGAUAACUUCGGGAAACCGGAGCUAAUACCGGAUAAUAUUUUGAACCGCAUGGUUCAAAAGUGAAAGACGGUCUUGCUGUCACUUAUAGAUGGAUCCGCGCUGCAUUAGCUAGUUGGUAAGGUAACGGCUUACCAAGGCAACGAUGCAUAGCCGACCUGAGAGGGUGAUCGGCCACACUGGAACUGAGACACGGUCCAGACUCCUACGGGAGGCAGCAGUAGGGAAUCUUCCGCAAUAGGCGAAAGCCUGACGGAGCAACGCCGCGUGAGUGAUGAAGGUCUUCGGAUCGUAAAACUCUGUUAUUAGGGAAGAACAUAUGUGUAAGUAACUGUGCACAUCUUGACGGUACCUAAUCAGAAAGCCACGGCUAACUACGUG